AACGCACAUUGCGCCCCCUGGCAUUCCGGGGGGCAUGCCUGUCCGAGCGUCAUUUCUGCCCUCCAGCACGGCUGGGUGUUGGGUGCUGUCCCCCCGGGGACACGCCCCAAAAGCAGUGGCGGCGCCGCGUCGGGUCCUCGAGCGUAUGGGGCUCUGUCACCCGCUCGGGAGGGACUCGGUCGGCGCUGGUCUUCCUCUAGGCGACCCUUCGGGGCUCGUCUCCUCCGGUUGACCUCGGAUCAGGUAGGAAUACCCGCUGAACUUAA
rnacentral:misc_RNA from 1 species